GUAUGUAUAUGUUCUAGUGAUUUAUCUAUGCUGAUGUAGAAGCUCCAUUUCUGCUAGUAGUUCUUUUUAAAUAGCAUGCCAAAUAUGAAUUCCAAAAGGAUAAUAAAUUGGAGAGGUUCACUACGAACAAUUGGCUGUAUAGAACUAUGUGCUACUGUGCUACAUGCCAGAGCCUACAAAAGUACAUCCUGAGGCAUGUAAGGCUGGUUGAUAUCUAUCACUACUGAUGGCUGGAUGUCACAAUGAAGCAUCAUAGUAUUAGUACAUGUUAUAGUUGGCAAUGGGCCGAACUACAAAAACGACUUGCCAUGAUCCAGCCUGAGGCAUGUAAGGCUGGUUGAUAUCUAUCACUACUGAUGGCUGGAUUCACAAUGAAGCAUUGGCAAUGGGCCGAACUACAAAAACGACUUGCCAUGAUCCAGCCUGAGGCAUGUAAGGCUGGUUGAUAUCUAUCACUACUGAUGGCUGGAUUCACAAUGAAGCAUCAUAGUAUUAGUACAUGAUAUAGUUGGCAAUGGGCCGAACUACAAAAACGACUUGCCAUGAUCCACUGUGUUGAGAAUGCCAUCUUGAACCAACACAUCCCCAAUGUUACUUUGGGGCUACAUAUUUCUAUCUGUGGUACCAGUAUGAAAGUAGUCAAUGUUUGCAUAAUGCCACUAUAUUUUCUUUGCUGUGUGGUAGGCUAUAACUGCACUAAAUGAUCUACUAUAAUUACUGUUCUAGCAUUUACUUAAAAUUCAUGUUGUUGCAUUUCAGGUGC
rnacentral:lncRNA from 1 species